rnacentral:rRNA from 1 species
UACAGAGGGUGCGAGCGUUGUCCGGAAUCACUGGGCGUAAAGGGCGCGUAGGUGGUGGCUUAAGCGUGCGGUGAAAGCUCGGGGCUCAACUCCGAGUCGGCCGUGCGAACUGGGCUCACUGGAGCAUAGUAGAGGCAGGUGGAAUUCCGGGUGUAGCGGUGGAAUGCGUAGAGAUCCGGAAGAACACCGGUGGCGAAGGCGGCCUGCUGGGACAAUGCUGACGCUGAGGCGCGACAGCGUGGGGAGCAAACAGG